UCAAAUUUAUAAUCUGGCACCUUCGGUGUCCGAGUUGUAAUCUCUAGAAGUGUUUUCCGCGUUGGACCGCACACAAGUCUGUUGGAAUACAGCGGCAUAGUGGUGAAACCCCCGUAUAUGGUGCGGACGCCCAGCGCUUUGUGAUACACUUUCAAUGAGUCGAGUUGUUUGGGAAUGCAGCUCAAAUUGGGUGGUAAAUUCCAUCUAAAGCUAAAUAUUGGCGAGAGACCGAUAGCGAACAAGUACCGUGAGGGAAAGAUGAAAAGCACUUUGGAAAGAGAGUUAACAGUACGUGAAAUUGUUGGAAGGGAAACGCUUGAAGUCAGACUUGCUUGCCGGAGCUUGCUUCGGUUUGCAGGCCAGCAUCAGUUUUCCGGGGUGGAUAAUGACGGUUUGAAGGUAGCAGUCUCGGCUGUGUUAUAGCUUUCCGUUGGAUACGCCCUGGGGGACUGAGGAACGCAGCGUGCUUUUUGCGAAAGACUCGUCUUUUUCACGCUUAGGAUGCUGGUGGAAUGGCUUUAAACGACCCGUCUUGA
rnacentral:rRNA from 1 species